GACGAACGCUGGCGGCGUGCUUAACACAUGCAAGUCGAACGGAAAGGCCCUGCUUUUGUGGGGUGCUCGAGUGGCGAACGGGUGAGUAACACGUGAGUAACCUGCCCUUGACUUUGGGAUAACUUCAGGAAACUGGGGCUAAUACCGGAUAGGAGCUCCUGCUGCAUGGUGGGGGUUGGAAAGUUUCGGCGGUUGGGGAUGGACUCGCGGCUUAUCAGCUUGUUGGUGGGGUAGUGGCUUACCAAGGCUUUGACGGGUAGCCGGCCUGAGAGGGUGACCGGCCACAUUGGGACUGAGAUACGGCCCAGACUCCCACGGGAGGCAGCAGUGGGGAAUAUUGCACAAUGGGCGGAAGCCUGAUGCAGCAACGCCGCGUGCGGGAUGACGGCCUUCGGGUUGUAAACCGCUUUCGCCUGUGACGAAGCGUGAGUGACGGUAAUGGGUAAAGAAGCACCGGCUAACUACGUGCCAGCAGCCGCGGUGAUACGUAGGGUGCGAGCGUUGUCCGGAUUUAUUGGGCGUAAAGGGCUCGUAGGUGGUUGAUCGCGUCGGAAGUGUAAUCUUGGGGCUUAACCCUGAGCGUGCUUUCGAUACGGGUUGACUUGAGGAAGGUAGGGGAGAAUGGAAUUCCUGGUGGAGCGGUGGAAUGCGCAGAUAUCAGGAGGAACACCAGUGGCGAAGGCGGUUCUCUGGGCCUUUCCUGACGCUGAGGAGCGAAAGCGUGGGGAGCGAACAGGCUUAGAUACCCUGGUAGUCCACGCUGUAAACGGUGGGUACUAGGUGUGGGGUCCAUUCCACGGGUUCCGUGCCGUAGCUAACGCUUUAAGUACCCCGCCUGGGGAGUACGGCCGCAAGGCUAAAACUCAAAGGAAUUGACGGGGCCCCGCACAAGCGGCGGAGCAUGCGGAUUAAUUCGAUGCAACGCGUAGAACCUUACCUGGGUUUGACAUGGAUCGGGAGCGCUCAGAGAUGGGUGUGCCUCUUUUGGGGUCGGUUCACAGGUGGUGCAUGGCUGUCGUCAGCUCGUGUCGUGAGAUGUUGGGUUAAGUCCCGCAACGAGCGCAACCCUUGUUCACUGUUGCCAGCACGUUAUGGUGGGGACUCAGUGGAGACCGCCGGGGUCAACUCGGAGGAAGGUGGGGAUGACGUCAAGUCAUCAUGCCCCUUAUGUCCAGGGCUUCACGCAUGCUACAAUGGCUGGUACAGAGAGUGGCGAGCCUGUGAGGGUGAGCGAAUCUCGGAAAGCCGGUCUCAGUUCGGAUUGGGGUCUGCAACUCGACCUCAUGAAGUCGGAGUCGCUAGUAAUCGCAGAUCAGCAACGCUGCGGUGAAUACGUUCCCGGGGCU
rnacentral:rRNA from 1 species